UCAGAACCAGGAGACGAUCCCGGACCUUGGAGAUGAUCUCGGACCCCGGAGAUGAUCCCGGACCCAGACGCAACCUAUCCAUCCUUCCCCCGGACCGGGACACAAGAGUCCAAACCGACACCUGAACAAGUUGCAGUCUGACAUGACAAGGACAAUACCCAAUGCCAGCUACUGACACUAUGAAGACAAACCUCAUAACACUCCAAAAUACUAUUCCUUAGCUGAC
rnacentral:lncRNA from 1 species